GAUGAACGCUGGCGGCGUGCCUAAUACAUGCAAGUCGAGCGAACAGACGAGGAGCUUGCUCCUCUGACGUUAGCGGCGGACGGGUGAGUAACACGUGGAUAACCUACCUAUAAGACUGGGAUAACUUCGGGAAACCGGAGCUAAUACCGCAUAAUAUAUUGAACCGCAUGGUUCAAUAGUGAAAGACGGUUUUGCUUUCACUUAUAAUUGGAUCCGCGCUGCAUUAGCUAGUUGGUAAGUUAACGGCUUACCAAGGCAACGAUGCGUAGCCGACCUGAGAGGGUGAUCGGCCAAACUGGACCUGAGACACGGUCAAGACUCCUACGGGAGGCAGCAGUAGGGAAUCUUCCGCAAUGGGCGAAAGCCUGACGGAGCAACGCGGCGUGAGUGAUGAAGGUCUUCGGAUCGUAAACCUCUGUUAUUAGGGAAGAACAAAUGUGUAAGUAACUAUGCACGUCUUGACGGUACCUAAUCAGAAAGCCACGGCUAACUACGUG
rnacentral:rRNA from 1 species